rnacentral:tRNA from 2 species
CGGGGCGUAGCGUAGCCUGGUAGCGCGCCUGUUUCGGGUACAGGAGGUCGUGAGUUCAAUUCUCACCGCCCCGACCA